rnacentral:ncRNA from 1 species
GCCGUGGAAACCGAAAAACGUACGAGUAGGUG